UACAGAGGGGGCAAGCGUUGUUCGGAAUUACUGGGCGUAAAGGGCGCGUAGGCGGCCCCUUAAGUCGAACGUGAAAUCCCCGGGCUCAACCCGGGAACUGCGUCCGAUACUGGGAGGCUUGAAUCCGGGAGAGGGAUGUGGAAUUCCAGGUGUAGCGGUGAAAUGCGUAGAUAUCUGGAGGAACACCGGUGGCGAAGGCGGCAUCCUGGACCGGUAUUGACGCUGAGGCGCGAAAGCUAGGGGAGCAAACGGG
rnacentral:rRNA from 1 species